CCCUCAAAUAGUGUUAUUUGAGGGAUGGGGCGCUCAGCCGUUGGAUGUCUUUUAAUGAGAUUGUGCGGCUGUGAUUGUUUUAAAAGUUGUAACCCGCUUUCACUCAAAUGACCCGCAAAAGACCGAAGUCAAGCACGCACGCAGAAGGGGAAACGAAGGAAGAGGAAGAGCCAGCCCUUGCAAGCUGAAGGGCAGAUCCACCAUCGCCAGCUGAAGAGCGGAUCCGACAAUCAGCUUCGGUUGUGCGAAUCAGAAAGCAGAUGUUGCCUUCGUCUUGGCAUAGGUUCACAUAGAAAGUAUUGGAGCUAUUGCUUUGUGAAAAAAACCGUAGAGACUUGUUAGCUGUAGUAGAUAAAAAGUCCAAUAGUAGCAGUGAAGUUCAUGCGGAAAUUUUAUGGAGAUAAGGUCCCUCUCACAGAUAUGAAUCGGAAUGUUUUGAUUUGAAAUGCACGUAUGGUUGUGGCAAAUUUCUGUAGAAGAAGAGCUUCGAAGGAGCAAACAUGAUUUAGUUGUUUCCAUUGCAAUGUUUGUAAUCCAAAAGAAAGUGCUAUAUUCGGUGUGGAAAUAAUAAUGAUCAGAAAUUUCUGGUUGAUGA